AUUGAACGCUGGCGGCAGGCCUAACACAUGCAAGUCGAGCGAGCGGCGGACGGGUGAGUAAUGUAUGGGGAUCUGCCUGAGGGAGGGGGAUAAAUAGUGAAAACGGUCUAUAACACCGCAUUCCCGAAGGUGCACCCAUAUGGGAUUGGCUUGUAGGUGAGGUAACGGCUCACCUAGGCGACGAUCCCUAGCUGGUCUGAGAGGAUGAUCAGCCACACUGGGACUGAGACACGGCCCAGACUCCUACGGGAGGCAGCAGUGGGGAAUAUUGCACAAUGGGCGCAAGCCUGAUGCAGCCAUGCCGCGUGUAUGAAGAAGGCCUUCGGGUUGUAAAGUACUUUCAGUCGGGAGGCGUUACCGACAGAAGAAGCACCGGCUAACUCCGUGCCAGCAGCCGCGGUAAUAC
rnacentral:rRNA from 1 species